AGUCCUUUCAUCUAUCUGCUCCUCAUUUAUUCUAUGGAGAUGGAGAAGAGGCAACUGUUCUUGAGGAGCUACCAGUUCUGCAGGAAGAAGAGUGUUGCAAAGAGGAUCAAGGGUUCUUUCUUCCGGGUCAAGAGGGUCGUCUGGUCUAGGUUCCGAUCCGCCAGAAAGAUCCAAAAGAUAGUCUGGUUCAGGCUCUGAUAUGGCCUCUUCUACUCCACCACGAAGAGAAACUUUCUUCGCCUCCACAACCCAAACACCACCACUACUACAUCUUGGUGGAGCAAUAGCAAGUUGCAAGUCAUUGUUGGUACGGUAGCAUUUGGAAUGGGAAUCAACAAACUAGAUUGUUAGUAUUUUACCUGUCUAUUCUUUUGAUCUAUUGCUUCUCAUAUGAAAUGAUACAUCGAUACAUGAAAGCGACCCUAAAAAUGUGUUUAUUUAAGGUUAGUUCUC